rnacentral:rRNA from 1 species
AUGCAAGUCGAACGAUGAUCCCAGCUUGCUGGGGGAUUAGUGGCGAACGGGUGAGUAACACGUGAGUAACCUGCCCUUAACUCUGGGAUAAGCCUGGGAAACUGGGUCUAAUACCGGAUAUGACUCCUCAUCGCAUGGUGGGGGGUGGAAAGCUUUAUUGUGGUUUUGGAUGGACUCGCGGCCUAUCAGCUUGUUGGUGAGGUAAUGGCUCACCAAGGCGACGACGGGUAGCCGGCCUGAGAGGGUGACCGGCCACACUGGGACUGAGACACGGCCCAGACUCCUACGGGAGGCAGCAGUGGGGAAUAUUGCACAAUGGGCGAAAGCCUGAUGCAGCGACGCCGCGUGAGGGAUGACGGCCUUCGGGUUGUAAACCUCUUUCAGUAGGGAAGAAGCGAAAGUGACGGUACCUGCAGAAGAAGCGCCGGCUAACUACGUGCCAGCAGCCGCGGUAAUACGUAGGGCGCAAGCGUUAUCCGGAAUUAUUGGGCGUAAAGAGCUCGUAGGCGGUUUGUCGCGUCUGCCGUGAAAGUCCGGGGCUCAACUCCGGAUCUGCGGUGGGUACGGGCAGACUAGAGUGAUGUAGGGGAGACUGGAAUUCCUGGUGUAGCGGUGAAAUGCGCAGAUAUCAGGAGGAACACCGAUGGCGAAGGCAGGUCUCUGGGCAUUAACUGACGCUGAGGAGCGAAAGCAUGGGGAGCGAACAGGAUUAGAUACCCUGGUAGUCCAUGCCGUAAACGUUGGGCACUAGGUGUGGGGGACAUUCCACGUUUUCCGUACCGUAGCUAACGCAUUAAGUGCCCCGCCUGGGGAGUACGGCCGCAAGGCUAAAACUCAAAGGAAUUGACGGGGGCCCGCACAAGCGGCGGAGCAUGCGGAUUAAUUCGAUGCAACGCGAAGAACCUUACCAAGGCUUGACAUGAACCGGAAACGCCUGGAAACAGGUGCCCCGCUUGCGGUCGGUUUACAGGUGGUGCAUGGUUGUCGUCAGCUCGUGUCGUGAGAUGUUGGGUUAAGUCCCGCAACGAGCGCAACCCUCGUUCUAUGUUGCCAGCGCGUGAUGGCGGGACUCAUAGGAGACUGCCGGGGUCAACUCG